rnacentral:rRNA from 1 species
GCGCGAUACAGGGUGACAGCCCCGUACACAAAAAUGCACACAUUGUGAGCUCGAUGAGUAGGGCGGGACACGUGGUAUCCUGUCUGAAUAUGGGGGGACCAUCCUCCAAGGCUAAAUACUCCUGACUGACCGAUAGUGAACCAGUACCGUGAGGGAAAGGCGAAAAGAACCCCGGCGAGGGGAGUGAAAAAGAACCUGAAACCGUGUACGUACAAGCAGUGGGAGCCUCUUAAUGGGGUGACUGCGUACCUUUUGUAUAAUGGGUCAGCGACUUAUAUUCUGUAGCAAGGUUAACCGAAUAGGGGAGCCGAAGGGAAACCGAGUCUUAACUGGGCGUUAAGUUGCAGGGUAUAGACCCGAAACCCGGUGAUCUAGCCAUGGGCAGGUUGAAGGUUGGGUAACACUAACUGGAGGACCGAACCGACUAAUGUUGAAAAAUUAGCGGAUGACUUGUGGCUGGGGGUGAAAGGCCAAUCAAACCGGGAGAUAGCUGGUUCUCCCCGAAAGCUAUUUAGGUAGCGCCUCGUGAAUUCAUCUCCGGGGGUAGAGCACUGUUUCGGCAAGGGGGUCAUCCCGACUUACCAACCCGAUGCAAACUGCGAAUACCGGAGAAUGUUAUCACGGGAGACACACGGCGGGUGCUAACGUCCGUCGUGAAGAGGGAAACAACCCAGACCGCCAGCUAAGGUCCCAAAGUCAUGGUUAAGUGGGAAACGAUGUGGGAAGGCCCAGACAGCCAGGAUGUUGGCUUAGAAGCAGCCAUCAUUUAAAGAAAGCGUAAUAGCUCACUGGUCGAGUCGGCCUGCGCGGAAGAUGUAACGGGGCUAAACCAUGCACCGAAGCUGCGGCAGCGACACUAUGUGUUGUUGGGUAGGGGAGCGUUCUGUAAGCCUGUGAAGGUGGCCUGUGAGGGUUGCUGGAGGUAUCAGAAGUGCGAAUGCUGACAUAAGUAACGAUAAAGCGGGUGAAAAGCCCGCUCGCCGGAAGACCAAGGGUUCCUGUCCAACGUUAAUCGGGGCAGGGUGAGUCGACCCCUAAGGCGAGGCCGAAAGGCGUAGUCGAUGGGAAACAGGUUAAUAUUCCUGUACUUGGUGUUACUGCGAAGGGGGGACGGAGAAGGCUAUGUUGGCCGGGCGACGGUUGUCCCGGUUUAAGCGUGUAGGCUGGUUUUCCAGGCAAAUCCGGAAAACCAAGGCUGAGGCGUGAUGACGAGGCACUACGGUGCUGAAGCGACAAAUGCCCUGCUUCCAGGAAAAGCCUCUAAGCAUCAGGUAACAUCAAAUCGUACCCCAAACCGACACAGGUGGUCAGGUAGAGAAUACCAAGGCGCUUGAGAGAACUCGGGUGAAGGAACUAGGCAAAAUGGUGCCGUAACUUCGGGAGAAGGCACGCUGAUAUGUAGGUGAAGCGACUUGCUCGUGGAGCUGAAAUCAGUCGAAGAUACCAGCUGGCUGCAACUGUUUAUUAAAAACACAGCACUGUGCAAACACGAAAGUGGACGUAUACGGUGUGACGCCUGCCCGGUGCCGGAAGGUUAAUUGAUGGGGUUAGCGGCAACGCGAAGCUCUUGAUCGAAGCCCCGGUAAACGGCGGCCGUAACUAUAACGGUCCUAAGGUAGCGAAAUUCCUUGUCGGGUAAGUUCCGACCUGCACGAAUGGCGUAAUGAUGGCCAGGCUGUCUCCACCCGAGACUCAGUGAAAUUGAACUCGCUGUGAAGAUGCAGUGUACCCGCGGCAAGACGGAAAGACCCCGUGAACCUUUACUAUAGCUUGACACUGAACAUUGAGCCUUGAUGUGUAGGAUAGGUGGGAGGCUUUGAAGUGUGG